rnacentral:lncRNA from 1 species
ACUAUAUACAGGGGGUACCGGUACAGAGUCAAUGUGGAGGCUAUAUACAGGGGGUACCGGUACAGAGUCAAUGUGGAGGCUAUAUACAGGGUAUUACGGUACAGAGUCAAUGUGGAGGCUAUAUACAGGGUAUUACGGUACAGAGUCAAUGUGGAGGCUAUAUACAGGGUAUUACGGUACAGAGUCAAUGUGGAGGCUAUAUACAGGGGGUACCGGUACAGAGUCAAUGUGGAGGCUAUAUACAGGGGGUACCGGUACAGAGUCAAUGUGGAGGCUAUAUACAGGGGGUACCGGUACAGAGUCAAUGUGGAGGCUAUAUACAGGGGGUACCGGUACAGAGUCAAUGUGGAGGCUAUAUACAGGGCAUUACGGUACAGAGUCAAUGUGGAGGCUAUAUGCAGGGGGUACCGGUACAGAGUCAAUGUGGAGGCUAUAUACAGGGGGUACCGGUACAGAGUCAAUGUGGAGGCUAUAUACAGGGUAUUACGGUACAGAGUCAAUGUGGAGGCUAUAUACAGGGUAUUACGGUACAGAGUCAAUGUGGAGGCUAUAUACAGGGGGUACCGGUACAGAGUCAAUGUGGAGGCUAUAUACAGGGGUACCGGUACAGAGUCAAUGUGGAGGCUAUAUACAGGGGGUACCGGUACUGAGUCAAUGUGGAGGCUAUAUACAGGGUGUACCGGUACAGAGUCAAUGUGGA